CAUGCAAGUCGAACGAUGAUCAGGAGCUUGCUUCUGUGAUUAGUGGCGAACGGGUGAGUAACACGUGAGUAACCUGCCCCUGACUCUGGGAUAAGCGUUGGAAACGACGUCUAAUACUGGAUAGGACUACUGGCCGCAUGGUCUGGUGGUGGAAAGAUUUUUUGGUUGGGGAUGGACUCGCGGCCUAUCAGCUUGUUGGUGAGGUAAUGGCUCACCAAGGCGACGACGGGUAGCCGGCCUGAGAGGGUGACCGGCCACACUGGGACUGAGACACGGCCCAGACUCCUACGGGAGGCAGCAGUGGGGAAUAUUGCACAAUGGGCGAAAGCCUGAUGCAGCAACGCCGCGUGAGGGAUGACGGCCUUCGGGUUGUAAACCUCUUUUAGUAGGGAAGAAGCGAAAGUGACGGUACCUGCAGAAAAAGCACCGGCUAACUACGUGCCAGCAGCCGCGGUAAUACGUAGGGUGCAAGCGUUGUCCGGAAUUAUUGGGCGUAAAGAGCUCGUAGGCGGUUUGUCGCGUCUGCUGUGAAAUCCCGAGGCUCAACCUCGGGCUUGCAGUGGGUACGGGCAGACUAGAGUGCGGUAGGGGAGAUUGGAAUUCCUGGUGUAGCGGUGGAAUGCGCAGAUAUCAGGAGGAACACCGAUGGCGAAGGCAGAUCUCUGGGCCGUAACUGACGCUGAGGAGCGAAAGCAUGGGGAGCGAACAGGAUUAGAUACCCUGGUAGUCCAUGCCGUAAACGUUGGGCGCUAGAUGUAG
rnacentral:rRNA from 1 species